UACGUAGGGGACCAAGCGUUGUUCGGAAUUACUGGGCGUAAAGGGCUCGUAGGCGGCCAACUAAGUCAUACGUGAAAUCCCUCAGCUUAACUGGGGAACUGCGUGUGAUACUGGAUGGCUUGGAUUUGGGAGAGGAUGCGGAAUUCCAGGUGUAGCGGUGAAAUGCGUAGAUAUCUGGAGGAACACCGGUGGCGAAGGCGGCAUCCUGGACCAAUAUUGACGCUGAGGAGCGAAAGCCAGGGGAGCAAAGCGGGAUUAAGAAACCC
rnacentral:rRNA from 1 species